UAUGAAUUUGGUAUCAGCCUCAUAAAGAAUGUUUUGUUAUCCUUCGCCACUCUUCUUCAACCUCUAAACUCUGUUUGCAAACACAAAGUUUUUUUUCUAUCACGAUGUUAAGUAGUAGAGACCACCCCCUCCCUCCGCUUCCUUCCCUCCUUCCUCCAACGACGACCUCGAGAGCAUCUCCGCGGCGCGCGGAGCCAAUUCCGACUCAGACCCCAAGGUAUCAGAGGACGCCGUCAUGUACGACGACAAGGAAGACUUCUCUCCCGAACCUGAUCAGGACUCUUCGAUCCGCACAUUCACUGCCGCUAAACUCGAUCCCAGCUCCGGAGCCAACGGUUCGAGUCGGAACACUAAGAUCAAGACGGAGAUCUCGACGGUGAAGCUUGAGGCUGGCGUGAGCUCAGUUGUGCCGAAGGAUGAGUCUGCUAAGAUAUCAACAGAUGAUACACAGACAGGUUUAGGUUUAAUCACUUUUAUGUUCUGUCCUUAAAAAAGUACAUUGACUUAUAUGAUCUGUAGGAACAAGCUGAGCGGCUCAAGUUUGUAUGUUAAGCAUAUGAUGUGGUAUCUUCCUUUUUUUCAAUCCCUUAGAGAAUUUUCAGAAUCUGUUACAGAGGAUUCGUCUGAAUAAUUUUGUUUGUUCUAGCUUGAUUGGGUUGAAGAACAUAUUUGCAAGACAGUUGCCUAAUAUGCCAAAGGAGUACAUUGUUUGCUUUCUCAUGGAUAUGUAUAAUGGAUUUUCUUUUAACUAAAGUGAAACAUGAGUUUUCUUUUGCAAGAGCUGUUCUUUGUUGGAAGCUUUCUGAUAUCUGCAACUUGUGUUGUUUACCCCCCCCCCCAGGAAACAUAAGUCAGUCAUGGUCGUAAGACCUCCUGCUGCAGGUGGUAGUGGUAUCACUCAUGUUGUAGGUGGCAUCACGUAUCGUCCAAAUCACAGAUGUUGGGUGGGCAAAUUCAAUCUGUACAAGGUUCUGACCUUAAGGACGUUGAAGUGAUGACUUGAAUUGUCGUCCGUCUUGAAUUGUCGUCCGUUUUGUCAUUGAACCGACGGUGGUGGUGUACCUGUCUUUAUGUGACGAAGCUGCGGCAAUGUGUAGGAGUCUCAUCAGCCAGGUGAUAGAAGCCAGUCUGUCAUGGUGGUCACUACUGUGAAUCCCAAUAUAUUUGGAGGUAACCUGUACCUCAACUCCACCCCAGCUACGAUUUUUUUUUUUUUUUGACACUGCCAUUCCAGCCAUCGCAGAGUUCACAGCCAGGUUAGGAGGUCAGUAGGAGAAGCCAAGGAAGGGAUUAAAAAGAAGGGACUUGUCUCAGUAGGGAUCUAAACAAAUGCAUCUCCAAUUCUAACGGGCAGUGAAGACACAGGAAGCUGAUUUUAUUUGCUAUGCUCGGGUUGUUGAGGUCCUGCGACAAAAUGGCAGGUCUUUUGUCUUUUGCACUGGAUGCAGCAGGAAGCUAGACAAAUCUGGCACUUUUUUCCGUUGCAAUCGUUGUGAUAAUCCCAAUGUGACCGGUGUUAUAAAAUACCGUGUUGAACUAUCAGUUGAUGAUGGGAGCGACAAUGCCACUUUUGUGGUGUUCGACAGAAAGAUGCUUAAACUCACUAAACAAGAUGCAGCUGUUCUAGCUCUCGAUGAGAUGAAUGGUGGUGGCGGUGAUGAACUGCCACACUGCCUUAAAGAACUUGAUGGAAAAGAUUUUGUAUUUCAGAUACGUGUGACACCAUACAAUUUCACCUCAAACCACCGCACUUUCACUGUUUCUGGAAUCAGUGACCACAUCAACCCGAGACUUUCAACACCAAUGAAGCUCCAUUGUUGAAGGGGAAGGUAGUGAAGCAUCCGCUUCUGUCAGCAACACGCUUGGAGGUCAAGGCGAUGAGCCAAAUCCAUCCGGGUAUGAAGGCAAAGAGGGUGGUGGCCGCAAACGCCCCUGUGAGUGAAGUUACAGAGCUGUUAAACGGUCAACACAACUCUGCUUUCGUCUCAUUAUAAUUUCCUAAAUUGCUAUUCAUUUCCUAUUUCAGACUUUGCAAUAUUUUUCCCAAUUUCCUGUUUUUUUUAAGCCAUUUACGGCAAAGUAACUCUCUCGAGGAGAAGAUUUUCUGAUAUUUAAUAGUAAAAAUGAAGGUUGACAUAAUA